GACGAACGCUGGCGGCGUGCUUAACACAUGCAAGUCGAACGGAAAGGCUCCAGCUUGCUGGCGUACUCGAGUGGCGAACGGGUGAGUAACACGUGGGUAAUCUGCCCUGCACUCUGGGAUAAGCCUGGGAAACUGGGUCUAAUAAUGGAUAUGACCUUUCUCCUUAUAGGGUUUGGUGGAAAGUUUUUCGGUGUAGGAUGAGCCCGCGGCCUAUCAGCUUGUUGGUGGGGUGAUGGCCUACCAAGGCGACGACGGGUAGCCGGCCUGAGAGGGUGAUCGGCCACAUUGGGACUGAGAUACAGCCCAGACUCCCACGGGAGGCAGCAGUGGGGAAUAUUGCACAAUGGGCGGAAGCCUGAUGCAGCGACGCCGCGUGAGGGAUGACGGCCUUCGGGUUGUAAACCUCUUUCAGCAGGGACGAAGCGUAAGUGACGGUACCUGCAGAAGAAGCACCGGCUAACUAUGUG
rnacentral:rRNA from 1 species